rnacentral:rRNA from 1 species
UACAGAGGGUGCGAGCGUUAAUCGGAAUUACUGGGCGUAAAGCGCGCGUAGACGGUUUUGUAAGUCAGAUGUGAAAUCCCUGGGCUCAACCUGGGAACUGCAUUUGAGACUGCAUGGCUAGAGUAUCGAAGAGGGAAGUGGAAUUUCCGGUGUAGCGGUGAAAUGCGUAGAUAUCGGAAGGAACAUCAGUGGCGAAGGCGGCUUCCUGGUCCAGCACCGACGUUCAGGCACGAAAGCGUGGGGAGCAAACAG